rnacentral:rRNA from 1 species
CCCGGCGACCGGCGCACGGGUGAGUAACACGUAUGCAACCUGGCCGCCACAGGGGGAUAACCCGCGGAAACGCGGCCUAAUACCCCGUGACGCCACCGGAGGGCAUCCUCCGGUGGCCAAAGGAGCGAUCCGGUGGCGGAUGGGCAUGCGGCGCAUUAGCUAGACGGCGGGGUGACGGCCCACCGUGGCGACGAUGCGUAGGGGUUCUGAGAGGAAGGUCCCCCACACUGGUACUGAGACACGGACCAGACUCCUACGGAAGGCAGCAG